GAUGAACGCUGACAGAAUGCUUAACACAUGCAAGUCUACUUGAAUUUGGGUUUUUUAACUUAGAUUUGGGUGGCGGACGGGUGAGUAACGCGUAAAGAACUUGCCUCACAGCUAGGGACAACAUUUGGAAACGAAUGCUAAUACCUGAUAUUAUGAUUAUAAGGCAUCUUAGAAUUAUGAAAGCUAUAUGCGCUGUGAGAGAGCUUUGCGUCCCAUUAGCUAGUUGGAGAGGUAACGGCUCACCAAGGCGAUGAUGGGUAGCCGGCCUGAGAGGGUGAACGGCCACAAGGUGACUGAGACACGGCCCUUACUCCUACGGGAGGCAGCAGUGGGGAAUAUUGGACAAUGGACCAAGAGUCUGAUCCAGCAAUUCUGUGUGCACGAUGACGUUUUUCGGAAUGUAAAGUGCUUUCAGUUGGGAAGAAAAAAAUGACGGUACCAACAGAAGAAGUGACGGCUAAAUACGUG
rnacentral:rRNA from 1 species